rnacentral:rRNA from 1 species
GGAUUAGAUACCCUGGUAGUCCACGCCGUAAACGAUGUCAACUAGCCGUUGGGAGCCUUGAGCUCUUAGUGGCGCAGCUAACGCAUUAAGUUGACCGCCUGGGGAGUACGGCCGCAAGGUUAAAACUCAAAUGAAUUGACGGGGGCCCGCACAAGCGGUGGAGCAUGUGGUUUAAUUCGAAGCAACGCGAAGAACCUUACCAGGCCUUGACAUCCAAUGAACUUUCCAGAGAUGGAUUGGUGCCUUCGGGAACAUUGAGACAGGUGCUGCAUGGCUGUCGUCAGCUCGUGUUG